rnacentral:rRNA from 1 species
GACGUAGGGCGCGAGCGUUGUCCGGAUUUAUUGGGCGUAAAGAGCUCGUAGGCGGCUUGUCGCGUCGAAUGUGAAACCCACAACGCUCAACUGUGGCGUUGCAUUCGAUACGGGCAGGCUAGAGUUCGGUAGGGGAGACUGGAAUUCCUGGUGUAGCGGUGAAAUGCGCAGAUAUCAGGAGGAACACCGGUGGCGAAGGCGGUUCUCUGGGCAUGUCCUGACGCUGAGGAGCGAAAGUGUGGGGAGCGAACAGG